rnacentral:rRNA from 1 species
CCAGACUCCUACGGGAGGCAGCAGUGGGGGAUAUUGCACAAUGGGGGAAACCCUGAUGCAGCGACGCCGCGUGGGUGAAGAAGCGCCUCGGCGCGUAAAGCCCUGUCAGCAGGGAAGAAAAUGACGGUACCUGAAGAAGAAGCCCCGGCUAACUACGUGCCAGCAGCCGCGGUAAUACGUAGGGGGCAAGCGUUAUCCGGAUUUACUGGGUGUAAAGGGGGCGCAGACGGCAGCGCAAGCCAGGAGUGAAAGCCGGGGGCCCAACCCCGGCGAGCCGUUGAAACUGGCGGGCUGGAGUUGGAGAGAAGUACGCGGAAUGCGCGGUGUAGCGGUGAAAUGCUUAGAUAUCGCGCAGAACCCCGAUUGCGAAGGCAGCGUACCGGCUCCACACUGACGCUGAGGCACGAAAGCGUGGGUAUCGAACAGGAUUAGAUACCCGCGUAC